GCUCCCUGACAUGUUAAGCCAGUGGCUCCCUGCAUGGUCUUGGGGCAGGGUCAGGGCCAACCCAGCUGUGAGAUCCAGGAGGGUUUGUCUUCAUCGCUGGUAUCUUCACCUCGCUCAGUGUUACCUGCUCACAGGACAGCUCGGAACACCCAGAGUUGUGAGAAGGUCCUCCUGGGCUGAAAGGAAGGCAGAGACUGAGCAGUGAUCACAGGACUCCAGGACCUGCUGCUUUAAAAGGAAAAUAAGCCCCCCGCAGUGCCCUCUGCAUGGCCCUGGUGUCCCUGCGAGAGGACACCGGCCACCUCCGUGUCUCUGCUGGGGAGGGAACAAGCCAGAAGAUGGAGAAAGAAAAAAAAAAAAAGGCAAAUUCAGCCAGGAGGAGGGAGCAGAUCGCUGCGGGAGCAUUUUCCCGGCUCAGCGCCUCUCUGGGUGGGGAAGUUGGAGCCCCAGCUCCAGGGACUGACUGCUGGGCUGAAAGUAAGCUUGGGAAUUCAUGUGUUUCUCUCCAGUUCUCCCUGUUUUCACAAUUACACUUUUGGGGUUUU